GGGGAAUUUUCCGCAAUGGGCGAAAGCCUGACGGAGCAAUACCGCGUGAGGGAGGAAGGCUCUUGGGUUGUAAACCUCUUUUCUCAGGGAAUAAGAACUGAAGGUACCUGAGGAAUCAGCAUCGGCUAACUCCGUGCCAGCAGCCGCGGUAAUACGGAGGAUGCAAGCGUUAUCCGGAAUGAUUGGGCGUAAAGCGUCCGCAGGUGGUUUAUCAAGUCUGCUGUCAAAGAGUUUGGCUCAACCAAAUAAAGGCAGUGGAAACUGACAGACUGGAGUGCGGUAAGGGCAGAGGGAAUUCCUGGUGUAGCGGUGAAAUGCGUAGAGAUCAGGAAGAACACCGGUGGCGAAAGCGCUCUGCUGGGCCGUAACUGACACUGAGGGACGAAAGCUAGGGGAGCGAAUGGGAUUAGAUACCCCU
rnacentral:rRNA from 1 species